GUCUCUGUAGCGCAAUGAAUGGCGCGUUGGAUUUCAAAUCAAAAGAUCGUGGGUUCGAAUCCCACCUGGGAUG
rnacentral:tRNA from 1 species